UACAGAGGUCCCAAGCGUUGUUCGGAUUCACUGGGCGUAAAGGGUGCGUAGGCGGUCGGGUAAGUCUGGUGUGAAAUUCCGGGGCUCAACUCCGGAACGGCAUCGGAUACUAUCCGGCUAGAGGGUUGGAGGGGGGACUGGAAUUCUGGGUGUAGCAGUGAAAUGCGUAGAUAUCCAGAGGAACACCAGUGGCGAAGGCGAGUCCCUAGACAACACCUGACGCUGAGGCACGAAAGCCAGGGGAG
rnacentral:rRNA from 1 species